AGCGAACGUUAGCGGCGGGCCUAACACAUGCAAGUCGAACGCGAAAGGUCUUCGGACUGAUUAGAGUGGCGCACGGGUGAGUAACACGUAGGUAAUCUACCCUUGGCGGGGAUAACGUUCCGAAAGGAGCGCUAAUACCGCAUAAGACCACGGAGUCUCCGGACGCUGUGGGAAAAGGUGGCCUCUUCUUGAAAGCUAUCACCGGAGGAUGAGCCUGCGUCCCAUCAGCUAGUUGGUAAGGUAAUGGCUUACCAAGGCAAAGACGGGUAGCUGGUUUGAGAGAAUGAUCAGCCACACUGGCACUGGAACACGGGCCAGACUCCUACGGGAGGCAGCAGUGAGGAUAUUGGGCAAUGGGC
rnacentral:rRNA from 1 species